CGCCCUGGUGGGCGGGCGCGGCAACCAUCGGCGUGGGGCAGGCGCCUGGUGUUGCGGGCGUUACGGCGAGACCGGCUGUUCGGGCGGGAGCGGCGGCGCCGCGGCCCCCUGAGGUAAUUCCUCGGCUCCGCCGGAGCGUUCCCGCUCACCGGCGGCGGCGGAGGAGACGGGGUGGCAGAGCAGGCAGCCGCGGUCGUAGCGGCGAAGCAGGAUGCGGGAGCGGUCGGGAAGGUAUGGCUGAGCUGAGCACUGCCACAGUGGUGUUGAAGAGGGGCGCCCGAGGGAGGUGUCGGCGAACUGGGGCAUAAGCGGUGCCGGGGUUUGUGCGAGGAAACGCCCAUCCCAAGGAAGCAGCGCGGCUGGACAGAUCCCAGCAAGGAUUAUAAGCCACGCAGUUCUGGGGGGCUGUCAUGAGGGAAAGAGUUGUAAAAAGUUGUGAUAGGUUUAUUUUUUAGUUGAAUUUUAUUGAGUUAUUUUCCGGUACGUGAUGUGGGUGGGCUGCAAUCGGACUUGGUGUAACUGAUGUCUAGUCCAAAAAGCGUACAGACUGAGUCCUCUUUUUGCCGACACUUCUCAUCACAGGCCACGGACACGCCCCUUCACUGUUUCCUAAUGUUGAGCUGUGGCUUGCAGCCCGCUCUUCACCGGCAGAACAGCUAAAAGUGAUCUGUAUCAUGGCUGGAAAUUAAAAGAAAGCUGUACACUUCCAUUCCGUGGAGCAGAAGAUGACCCACUGACUUACUUUAACUCUUUAGCUAAAACAUGUUGGCACACAUUGCCUGUUCUUGAUGUUUAGGGCUCUAGUAAAACACCAGAACUUUGCCAAAGUCCUAAAUCUGUACAAUAACAGUAUGAUCCAGUUGACCUAUCCAUGCUGGAAGUGACUAAUUUCCUCUUCAAGCCUCUUAGUGUAAUUUCCUGUCUCGCCUUGAACACCAGCGUACAGACCUCCGUUCCUGCCCAAGUUCCUGAGACGUUUCCGCGGUCACUGCUUUAACUGGGAAGUACAAUUGGGUUCCUUUUCAUUGCUUGCCUGCAUAUAUUGUUCCCUUUGUUUACAGUUUACAAAAUUAUUUUGCUUCCUACUAAUACAGGAGUUAUCAAAUAUGUCGUUUAGCUCUAUGACUGUUUAUCUCCAGUACUACCUUUUGUACCAUUCCUCAUUUGCAUCUUCAGACACUUAGUAAGGGUGGCCUUUUACUUUGUGCAUUUAUCUGCGUCAGUGAGUUGCUAAGUUUGUUCACAGUUGACCUGAGUUAAGAUAUAGAAAAUGUUUAGAUAUUUUAAAAGUAAUUAUUCUGCUGAUGACGAAGUGAUAUCUUAUGGACCCUAAACCUUUAGAUAGUGAUAUAACACUGCUGAUGAGUGCUUGGAAGUGCUUUGUUGCCUUUGCUGAAUGGGGUUAUCUGGAGCAGAUGUUUUGUGGAUCCUCUGAACUGAACACUUACUUACACAUGAUGAUAAAACAGAUGAUAAAAA